rnacentral:misc_RNA from 1 species
GAUGAAGAACGUAGCGAAAUGCGAUAAGUAAUGUGAAUUGCAGAAUUCAGUGAAUCAUCGAAUCUUUGAACGCACAUUGCGCCCGCCAGUAUUCUGGCGGGCAUGCCUGUUCGAGCGUCAUUACAACCCUCAGGCCCCCGGGCCUGGCGUUGGGGAUCGGCGGAAGCCCCCUGCGGGCACAACGCCGUCCCCCAAAUACAGUAGCGGUCCCGCCGCAGCUUCCAUUGCGUAGUAGCUAACACCUCGCAACUGGAGAGCGGCGCGGCCACGCCGUAAAACACCCAACUUCUGAAUGUUGACCUCGAAUCAGGUAGGAAUACCCGCUGAACUUAAGCAUAUCAAUAAGCGGAGGA